rnacentral:rRNA from 1 species
GACGAACGCUGGCGGCGUGCUUAACACAUGCAAGUCGAGCGGUAAGGCCCUUCGGGGUACGACGAGCGGCGAACGGGUGAGUAACACGUGGGUGACCUGCCCUUAGCUCUGGGAUAAGCCUGGGAAACGUGGGUCUAAUACCGGAUAUGACCUCAUGACGCAUGUUGUGGGGUGGAAAGCCUUGUGCGGCUAGGGAUGGGCCCGCGGCCUAUCAGCUUGUUGGUGGGGUGAUGGCCUACCAAGGCGACGACGGGUAGCCGGCCUGAGAGGGCGACCGGCCACACUGGGACUGAGACACGGCCCAGACUCCUACGGGAGGCAGCAGUGGGGAAUCUUGCGCAAUGGGCGAAAGCCUGACGCAGCGACGCCGCGUGAGGGAUGACGGCCUGGUGU